AUGCGCGGCAAGCUGCCACUUUGACCCACUGUAGCGGGCGGCCGCCUGAGUGGGCUUGGUCCCCCAGGGCUGAGCAGCUCGCGGGCUGCCACUUUGACCAACUCUGGCGGUGGGCCGCCAGUG